rnacentral:rRNA from 1 species
CAGCACCUCAAGUGGUCAGGAUGAUUAUUGGGCCUAAAGCAUCCGUAGCUGGCCAAGUUAGUCCCUUGUUAAACCCACCGAAUUAAUCGUUGGCGUGCGGGGGAUACUGCUCGGCUAGGGGACGAGAGAGGCAGACGGUAUUCUCGGGGUAGGGGUGAAAUCCUAUAAUCCCGAGAAGACCACCAGUGGCGAAGGCUGUCUGCUAGAACGCGCCCGACGGUGAGGGAUGAAAGCUGGGGGAGCAAACCGGAUUAGAUACCCGAGUAGUCC